rnacentral:rRNA from 1 species
AGUGAACGCUGGCGGUAGGCCUAACACAUGCAAGUCGAACGGCAGCACAGUAAGAGCUUGCUCUUACGGGUGGCGAGUGGCGGACGGGUGAGGAAUACAUCGGAAUCUACUUUUUCGUGGGGGAUAACGUAGGGAAACUUACGCUAAUACCGCAUACGACCUACGGGUGAAAGCAGGGGAUCUUCGGACCUUGCGCGAUUGAAUGAGCCGAUGUCGGAUUAGCUAGUUGGCGGGGUAAAGGCCCACCAAGGCGACGAUCCGUAGCUGAUCUGAGAGGAUGAUCAGCCACACUGGAACUGAGACACGGUCCAGACUCCUACGGGAGGCAGCAGUGGGGAAUAUUGGACAAUGGGCGCAAGCCUGAUCCAGCCAUACCGCGUGGGUGAAGAAGGCCUUCGGGUUGUAAAGCCCUUUUGUUGGGAAAGAAAAGCAGCAGAUUAAUACCCCGCUGUUCUGACGGUACCCAAAGAAUAAGCACCGGCUAACUUCGUG